CCGACGUGGGCUGGGGUAAAGGGGAGAAGGGCAGAGAGAGGAACUCACGCACCGAGACGUGAGAAGAGGCAGACAAAGUUAGCGCCACGUGGGGCUAGGGCGGGAGGCCGGGUGGGGCUAGGGUGGGAGGGAAAGAGGGUCUCUGGAUUGGGAGAAAGGAGGGGUGCCUGGGAGACACAGAGACUGAGGGCCAAAAGGACAGAGAUGGAGGAAGACGACAGAGACACCGGAAGAAAAGGAAUACAGCCAGCGACAGAAACACAGAAGGGGAAAUCAGGAGGAAGGAAAUGUACAAGGAGGUGUGCUGGGGCUCUUCCAUCACCUGGCUUCAUCCAGAUAGAGCUGGGCACCAGCAAGAACCAAAACAGAAAAAUCAGGAGACUCAAGGGCCAGAGUUUGCUCCUGCUCUAGCGGUGGAUUCCUGAGAGGCAAUGGGAGUACAUAUUCCAGAUGAAUUGACCCUGGCCACAAAUGUCCUCUCCAGACACCUAUAAAUAUCCCAUCUCCAAGGUUCCUUGUAAGAAAUAUAUGAUUGGAUCCCAGGAUCUGUGGAGGACCUCUCCCGGCUCCUCCCCACAUUUUAGGAAAAUCCUGCCGGUUUAGGAUUACCAGCCAGAGGUCCAUGCCCCAAAGAAGCCACUCACAAACACUGAUGGUUGUUGGCGACUAAGCUGCAUCACUUGAUUUGGAUUACAGAAAGGAACGCCCGAGAGAUUUUGUUUGUUUUUAUUUGGGGAGAAUGAAGGAGGAGGGAGAUUUUAGACUGAAUCGUUCUAGAGUAUUUGACGACUACAGCUCCUCUCUCUUUGUACUACGGAGACCCUGCUUAUAGCCCCCAACAGGAAAUCCUCAUCUGCAGUUGCCAGACAGCCAGAAUAUUUCCACCUGUGCCAGAACAAGACAGAAGACCCCAGGAGAUUCUUCCUGGGGACAGGUCUCAAGCAGACCCAAUCCCCCAUACAGAGAAUUUCUUAGAUGAAAACAGCCUCAGGCCCUUAGACCCAGCCUCCGGUCUCUCUUCUGGGCCCACACCAGCACAACACCCUGGAGAAGCCCCAAGCCUGCACAAGUACCAAACCCACCAGGGAACAGCACCACCAUCCUCGCCUCUACUGGAGAAGAGGGGUGUUCCUGCCUCCCCAUCCUAGGCCUCAGGCCUGGGAUCAGGGUCCACUCGAGCUGGGACUGCACUAGCCAGGAAGGCUGCCGCCUUCCUCCUGCGGGAGCUCCAGGCACAGUCUGC
rnacentral:lncRNA from 1 species